rnacentral:rRNA from 1 species
GACGAACGCUGGCGGCGUGCCUAACACAUGCAAGUCGAACGGAUAGGCCCUGCUUUUGUGGGGUGCUCGAGUGGCGAACGGGUGUGUAACACGUGAGUAACCUGCCCCUGACUUUGGGAUAACUUCAGGAAACUGGGGCUAAUACCGGAUAGGAGCUCCUGCUGCAUGGGGGGGUUUGGAAAGUUUCGGCGGUUGGGGCUGGACUCGCGGCUUAUCAGCUUGUUGGUGGGGUAGUGGCUUACCAAGGCUUUGACGGGUAGCCGGCCUGAGAGGGGGAACGGCCACAUUGGGACUGAGAUACGGCCCAGUCUCCUACGGGAGGCAGCAGUGGGGAGUAUUGCACAAUGGGCGGAAGCCUGAUGCGGCAGCGCCGCGUGCGGGAUGACGGCCUUCGGGUUGUAAACCGCUUUCGCCUGUGACGAAGCGUGAGUGACGGUAAUGGGUAAAGAAGCACCGGCUAACUACGUG